rnacentral:rRNA from 1 species
AGCAGCCGCGGUAAUUCCAGCUCCAAUAGCGUAUAUUAAAGUUGUUGCAGUUAAAAAGCUCGUAGUUGAAUUUCGGGAUCAGUACGCUGGUCGUGCCUUCGGUAUGCACUGGUUUCACUGAUUCCUCCCUUCUGAAGAACCGUAAUGCCAUUCAGUUGGUGUGGCGGGGAAUCAGGAUCGUUACUUUGAAAAAUUGAGUGUUUAAAGCAGGCUCGCGCUUGAAUACAUUAGCAUGGAAUAAUGAAAUAGGACGUUUGAUCCUAUUUUGUUGGUUUCUAGGAUCGACGUAAUGAUUAAUAGGGAUAGUUGGGGGCAUUAGUAUUCAAUUGUCAGAGGUGAAAUUCUUGGAUUUAUUGAAGACUAACUACUGCGAAAGCAUUUGCCAAGGAUGUUUUCAUUAAUCAAGAACGAAAG